rnacentral:miRNA from 1 species
AGAGUGGCCAAGUGUCCUGGUUUACCUGGGACUGAGGGGUCUCCUGGGAUGCAGGACUUCAGUGCUACAACCAGGA